ensembl:lncRNA
GCAAAUUGGGAGGAGAAAGUACAUACUUGAUCGCAUGGCUCAAAAACGACUUAAUAAUUUUCACUUGUGAUUUUAGCUUUAAUUAAGCCGAAUCACCGAGAAAAUGAAGAGAUCUUGCCCAGGAUUUGAACCAAAAAUGCUGAAUACUGUUAGAAUGUUGAGAUUAAAAAGCAUCCAAACUUUCCGAAGAUAAUUCUGAAGACGCAAAAAUGUUUUUCGUUUUUAAGUUUGUAUUGGCCAGAAAGGCAUGGAGGAGUUAUGAAUAUGAAGAUAAUCAAUAAUGUCUUAGGUGGUUGUGGAUGGAUAUUCAGAUCUUUAUACCUUUACAAGAUUUCCCAUUUGUUUUAUUUCAUCAGACUUUCAGCUCGUGAUGAUCUGUAGAAGCAGUAAUGCAAGUGAGAAAUAGAAGACCCAAGAGACUUGAAUUAUGGUGUAUAUUUGAUACUGUUAUCUACAACUCCUGAAGUCUGUCCAACAUGUUGCUUUCGUGACACAUUCCAUCUGUUCUCUAAUGGCCCUUUUCAACCUUGCCUUCAGGCUUUCCCAACAUCUUUUAAAUGUUCAUGGUAAUUUUUCACUCUCCUCAAGAAGCUUAAUUGUUUGCUUUCUGCCAUGAUCUGAGAUUGAUUACCCUGCAUUCUGGAUUUUUUUUUUCAGGCUUUUUUUGCAUGAUGUACUUUGCAAAUUAAAGUGAUAAAUACAGUCUUUCCACUUUGAACC